rnacentral:rRNA from 1 species
AUUGAACGCUGGCGGCAGGCCUAACACAUACAAGUCGAACGAGUGGCGGACGGGUGAGUAAUGUCUGGGAAACUGCCUGAUGGAGGGGGAUAACUACUGGAAACGGUAGCUAAUACCGCAUACCAUCGGAUGUGCCCAGAUGGGAUUAGCUAGUAGGUGGGGGAAAGGCUCACCUAGGCGACGAUCCCUAGCUGGUCUGCGAGGAUGACCAGCAACACUGGAACGGAGACACGGUCCAGAAUCCUAAGGGAGGCAGCAGUGGGGAAUAUUGCACAAGGGGCGCAAGCCUGAUGCAGCCAGGGCGCGUGUAUGAAGAAGGCAUUAGGGUUGUAAAGUACUUUCAGCGGGGAGGCGUUACCCGAAGAAGAAGCACCGGCUAACUCCGUGCCAGCAGCCGCGGUAAUUC